UACGGGGGGGGGCAAGCGUUGUUCGGAAUUACUGGGCGUAAAGGGCGCGUAGGCGGUCAGAUAAGUCAGCUGUGAAAACCUCGGGCUUAACCCGAGGCCUGCAGUUGAAACUGUUUGGCUGGAGUGUGGGAGAGGAGAGUGGAAUUCCCGGUGUAGCGGUGAAAUGCGCAGAGAUCGGGAGGAACACCCGUAGCGAAGGCGGCGCUCUGGGCCGGUACUGACGCUGAGGAGCGAAAGCGUGGGGAGCAAACAGG
rnacentral:rRNA from 1 species